ACGCCUGUAGCUCAGUGGAGAGAGCGCUGCCCUGCGACGGCAGAGGUCGCUGGUUCGAAUCCAGCUGGGCGUA
rnacentral:tRNA from 1 species